rnacentral:rRNA from 1 species
AGCGAACGCUGGCGGUAGGCCUAACACAUGCAAGUCGCACGGCAGCACAGUAAGAGCUUGCUCUUACGGGUGGCGAGUGGCGGACGGGAGAGGAAUACAUCGGAAUCUACUUUUUCGUGGAGGAUAACGUAGGGAACCUUACGCUACUACCGCAUACGACCUACGGGUGAAAGCAGGGGAUCUUCGGACCUUGCGCGAUUGAAUGAGCCGAUGUCGGAUUAGCUAGUUGGCGGGGUAAAGGCCCACCAAGGCGACGAUCCGUAGCUGGUCUGAGAGGAUGGUCAGCCACACUGGAAGUGAGAGACGGUCCAGACUCCUACGGGGGGAAGCAGUGGGGAAUAUUGGACAAGGGGCGCAAGCCUGAUCCAGCCAUACCGCGUGGGUGAAGAAGGCCUUCGGGUGGGAAAGCCCUUUUGUUGGGAAAGAAAAGCAGCAGGUUAAGACCCCGCUGUUCUGACGGUACCCAAAGAAUAAGCACCGGCUAACUUCGUG